UGAUAUGGUCGUAGUGUGACGAACAGUAUAAAAUAAAAAAACACACAUAGGGA
rnacentral:sRNA from 12 species